UACAGAGGUCUCAAGCGUUUGUUCGGAUUCAUUGGGCGUAAAGGGUGCGUAGGUGGCGCGGUAAGUCGGGUGUGAAAUUUCGGAGCUUAACUCCGAAACUGCAUUCGAUACUGCCGUGCUUGAGGACUGGAGAGGAGACUGGAAUUUACGGUGUAGCAGUGAAAAUGCGUAGAGAUCGUAAGGAAGACCAGUGGCGAAGGCGGGGUCUCUGGACAGUUCCUGACACUGAGGCACGAAG
rnacentral:rRNA from 1 species